rnacentral:rRNA from 1 species
CUCUAAUAGAUUUAAUUCAUUAGUAAAAUCUGCUCAAUGAAUUUUAAAUAGCCGCAACUAUAUUGUGCUAAGGUAGCAUAAUCAUUUGUCUUUUAAUUAAAGACUAGAAUGAAAGAUCCAACAUUUAUAUUUAUAUUUUAAAUAAACUUAUUUUAACGUAUCUUAAAUAUAAAAAGAUAUUUAUUUAUAAAAAAGACGAUAAGACCCUAUUGAACUUUACUAUAGUUUAACUGGGGUAGUUAAUUAAUUAUUAUUUUAAUUUUCUUUUUUAUAAAAAAUCCUGAUAAAUCAAAAUAUUAAGUUACCAUAGGGAUAACGCGUAAUAAUUUUUUCAGCUCUUUAUUUUAAAAAUAACUUGCGACCUCGAUGUUGAAUUAAUAGCCUAAUAAAUCGAACAAUUUAAUAAGGAAGUCUGUUCGACUUUUAAUUAAUU